rnacentral:rRNA from 1 species
GUUGAGAGCCACUGGUGUAAAUGCACCCAAUCUUGGCUGAACUCAGAAGCUCAGCAGGGAUGGGUCUGGUUAGUACUUAGACAAUUUUGACC